rnacentral:rRNA from 1 species
UCCGGUUGAUCCUGCCAGAGGUUACUGCUAUCGAGGUUCGACUAAGCCAUGCGAGUCGAAUGUAGCAAUACAUGGCGUACUGCUCAGUAACACGUGGACAACCUGCCCUUAGGUUGGGUAUAAACCCGGGAAACUGGGUAUAAUCCCCGAUAGGUCUCGGCUGCUGGAAUGCAUCGAGAUUAAAAGCUCCGGCGCCUAAGGAUGGGUCUGCGGCCUAUCAGGUAGUAGUGGGUGUAGCGUACCUACUAGCCUACGACGGGUACGGGUUGUGAGAGCAAGAGCCCGGAGAUGGAUUCUGAGACACGAAUCCAGCCCCUACGGGGUGCAGCAGGCGCGAAAACUUUACAAUGCUGGCAACAGCGAUAAGGGAACCUCGAGUGCCAGGUUACAAAUCUGGCUGUCGAGAUGCCUAAAAAGCAUUUCAUAGCAAGGGCCGGGCAAGACCGGUGCCAGCCGCCGCGGUAACACCGGCGGCUCGAGUGGUAACCGUUAUUAUUGGGUCUAAAGGGUCUGUAGCCGGCCGGAUAAGUCUCUUGAGAAAUCUGGCAGCUUAACUGUCAGGCUUUCAGGAGAUACUGUCUGGCUCGAGGCCGGGAGAGGUGAGAGGUACUUCAGGGGUAGGGGUGAAAUCUUGUAAUCCUUGAUGGACCA